GAAAGAUGUCUGCAGGUAGACCUAGCCCUGGGCAGGUAUUUAUCAUCCUAACAACAAAGAAAUGCAUAAAGAAGAGAGAAGAGCUCAAGAUGGAAAAGAUGAGGGAAAGGUGACUGUGACUGGGCGCCUCUCUGUUUACUUUGUACCUGCCCUCUGUUAUGACACACCUCGGAACUUGUCACCAACCGGAACUGUGCCACCUCCGCAAAGUUUGCCCCUAUUGCAUAAUUGCCUGAUCAUUAACUCCUUUCCAG
rnacentral:lncRNA from 1 species